CCUACGUGUGGCAGCAGUAGGGAAUAUUGCGCAAUGGGGGAAACCCUGACGCAGCAACGCCGCGUGGAGGAUGACACUUUUCGGAGCGUAAACUCCUUUUGUUAGGGAAGAAUAAUGACGGUACCUAACGAAUAAGCACCGGCUAACUCCGUGCCAGCAGCCGCGGUAAUACGGAGGGUGCAAGCGUUACUCGGAAUCACUGGGCGUAAAGGACGCGUAGGCGGAUUAUCAAGUCUCUUGUGAAAUCUAACGGCUUAACCGUUAAACUGCUUGGGAAACUGAUAAUCUAGAGUAAGGGAGAGGCAGAUGGAAUUCUUGGUGUAGGGGUAAAAGUCGUAGAUAUCAAGAAGAAUACCUAUUGCGAAGGCGAUCUGCUGGAACUUAACUGACGCUGAUGCGUGAAAGCGUGGGAAGCAAACAGGAUUAGAUACCCCAGUAGUC
rnacentral:rRNA from 1 species